rnacentral:RNase_P_RNA from 1 species
GAGAGGGAGAGUGCGGCUGACGGUGGCGGAAACGCUGCUGAGGAAAGUCCCCCCACCAGCUGAGCACGCAGCCGUAUGCAAGUACGGGUGGCGAGAGUCACGGCAAUGGCACAGAAACGACACGGCCUGUUAUCAGCAAUGAUGCGACCGAGCCUGGGGGUUUCCCGGGCGAGCGACGUGUUUUUCACGUCCAAUCGCAGAGCGCAGGAACAGGAAUCGAUGAAACGGUGAAUCCCUGCGGGUGCAAGCCAGAACAGGGCACGAGGUCGCUCAGUAACCGCCCGGGUAUGGCGCCGAGCUGAAUGCCGCAUUGAACAGAAGGGGGCUUACUCCUCCCACUC